rnacentral:rRNA from 1 species
UACAGAGGUCCCAAGCGUUGUUCGGAUUCACUGGGCGUAAAGGGUGCGUAGGUGGCUGGGUAAGUUUGAGGUGAAAGCUCCGGGCUCAACCCGGAAAUUGCCUUGAAUACUAUUCGGCUAGAGGGUUGGAGGGGAGACUGGAAUUCUCGGUGUAGCAGUGAAAUGCGUAGAUAUCGAGAGGAACACCAGUGGCGAAGGCGAGUCUCUGGACAACAUCUGACACUGAGGCACGAAAGCCAAGGGAGCAAACGGG